GAUGAAUAACGUAGCGAAAUGCGAUAAGUAGUGUGAAUUGCAGAAUUCAGUGAAUCAUCGAAUCUUUGAACGCACAUUGCGCCCUCUGGUAUUCCGGGGGGCAUGCCUGUUCGAGCGUCAUUGCAACCCCUCAAGCACAGCUUGUGUGUUGGGCUCUCGUCCCCCGUGGACGGGCCUGAAAUGCAGUGGCAGCACCGAGAUACCGGUGUCUGAGUGUAUGGGCAUUGAUCAUCACUCGAUAGACCCGAUCGGCGCUGACCGUCAAACCACGAUUCCUCAGAAUCAUCCAGUUUUGACCUCGGAUCAGGUAGGAAUACCCGCUGAACUUAAGCAUAUCAAUAAGCGGAGGA
rnacentral:misc_RNA from 1 species